UCGACAUAAAUCGUCAUUGUUUUUGAAUUUUUGUUAUUUUUUUUGAAGACGAAAUAAUUAUUAAAAUUGUCUAAGUUGGACUAUGAACCUCUGAAUUUAUUACUUGUACGAUUUAUAUUGUGAGAAACCAACAUAUCAUCAAUCAUUACUAGAACCUAAGUACCGUAUGGCUUAAGCGGGAUUUUUUUAAGUGCCGUUCGCUAUUAAGUACCACUAAAAAUUUGCAUCUUUGGUUGUGGCAAUUUUUGGGAUUGACUGUAUAUGCAAGAACGCAUGAAACUUCUCUUUAGAAGCAACUAUCAGGCUAGAAAUAUAAUUCCAGGAUGACGAAUGCGAAGUGGUCUGAAGGCGCAAGAGGGGCUUAUAGGUGCUGGUAUCAAAAUUGGACAACGGGAGUGGCACCGCCCACAUAUAGGUGAAAUCACAUACCUCCGAACUUACUCCACCAAUUUCGCCAAAUUUGGUACGUAAAGUUAUCUUGACGUUCCCAUGUUGCAGUACGAAAAGUGGCCGAAAUCGGACGUAUACAAAUCGAGCACUAAUACUUUCUUUAAGGUAUGCCAUCUUAGGUUAGAUACCGAAAAUGUGGACCCCAGAGCCUAUGGUUGACUUUUUACUAAACCUUUUUACUUGGUUAAUCUGUGAGAUAUAUAAUUGAAACUCGGGGAAAAUGAUUUUUUGACAAUAAUAAAACCCUGUAAAAUAGUUCUCUAAUGAGAUUUUAAUAAGAAUUUGUAAAUGUGGUACCAUUUUAAUAAGAUACAGGCCGAAAAACUCUUCUAUUUGCACUAA